rnacentral:rRNA from 1 species
UACGUAGGGCGCAAGCGUUGUCCGGAAUUAUUGGGCGUAAAGAGCUCGUAGGCGGUUUGUCGCGUCUGCUGUGAAAACCUAAGGCUCAACCUUGGGCUUGCAGUGGGUACGGGCAGACUAGAGUGCGGUAGGGGUGACUGGAAUUCCUGGUGUAGCGGUGGAAUGCGCAGAUAUCAGGAGGAACACCCAUUGCGAAGGCGGGUCUCUGGGCCGAUACUGACGCUGAGGAGCGAAAGCGUGGGGAGCGAACAGG